ACAAAGUGAUUUUUUUGGAGCAAAAACAGUCAAAUUUUAUGAACUUUUAUUUUCUAAAUUUUUUAUUCGAAAAUAAAAAUUAUUAAAAUAAUAUUUUUCUUUAAUUUUUUUUUUUUGAGAAAUAGGUAGCAUGCUACCCGUUUCGUUUACUUCAUUUAGAAAUAAACUUAGUUAGAAAUAUGAAUCGACUAGAAUUCGAACUUGAGAUCUCGAGUACCAACCAUCAAGCCCUUUACCACUUGCGCUAGAGAUGGUCGGUUCAUUAAAAACUUUUUCUAAAAAAUUAAUGUUUUAUAGUU
rnacentral:lncRNA from 1 species